GUUAAGUGAAAUUUAAUAUCGUAUAGUUUUGAUUACUCCCUCUCUUUUAGAUAGGCUUAAUGGGCCAUUAAAUACAGAAUUAAUCGGGCCUUAACAGGGUAAACUAAAAAAAACUUGUGAUAAACAAUUUUAUGGACCCGAUUUAGUUUUUACUGGGCUUAAAAAUCGCUUAGAAUUUAAAAAAAAAAAAAGUGGAAGGAACACGAAGAGCACAGAGAUCCUUACUUCGAUUCAUCCCGUGACCUAUUCAAAAUGUAAAAAAAAAAGGUUUCGUUACAGACAAGACAACAGUGGCGAUCAUCAAAGCUGUAGGGAAUGGUUUAUAAUAUAUGGAGAGAGAAGGACCGACAUUGGAUCUUAAGACUAGUAAACGACGACCGGCCCAC
rnacentral:lncRNA from 1 species